rnacentral:rRNA from 1 species
CUACCAAGCUGGAGUACGGUAGGGGCAGAGGGAAUUUCCGGUGGAGCGGUGAAAUGCAUUGAGAUCGGAAAGAACACCGUUAAAAAUAAUCAACCAACGUCGACUAUAACCCCUAGCCUUCCAAGCUAACGAUGCGGGUUCGAUUCCCGUUACCCGCUCCAUUCUGUAUAAAAGGAGUAUUCUAUUUGU